GCCCCGCCUCCUCCCCUCGACAGCUCCAUCCGACCGUUAACGGUAGGAAUGGCAGCUUUGCGGCGAUUGACGCGGCUGCAGCCCGCUCUCAGUAGCGCUGUCCGCUCGAGACGGCCCGCCGUGCUGGCGGCUGCCGGAGGCGCGGCGGUGGUUUCGUGUUGUUAUUAUUAUUACCACUACUGUCCACUUUCGCUGGAGACGGGGAGUGGGAUCCGCCGGGAAGGGCGGUCCACGCUGGGCCUCCCCGGUGGGGAUGUGUUCGCUCCGCUCUCUGUACCAACUGUAGAAGCCACGGGAAAGGCCAAGAAUAUAAUGGAAGAAUCCGAUAUUGAAGAUGUGGAACUAUAUGUUUCUUCCCAAGAACAAAGAUUUAGGCUGUUUACAUCACUGGAGCAUGAAGGUCAGCUAUAUAUGACUCCACGAGACUUUAUUGAAUCUGUUACUACAGAUGAACCAAGAGGUUUUAGACCUCGGAAAUCCCUUUCAAAACAGGAAUUGGAAAACAUGCUUGCAGAAACACCUCCGGUAUGGAAAGGCUCUUCAAGACUAUUUCGAACUUUACAUGAUAGAGGUCUGAUUGCCUACACAGAAUAUUUGUUUCUUUUGUGCAUACUAACAAAACCUCAUGCAGGUUUUAAAAUAGCUUUCAACAUGUUUGAUACUGAUGGCAACGAAAUGGUGGACAAGAAGGAAUUCUUGGUGCUUCAGGAAAUUUUUAGAAAGAAAAAUGAGAAACGAGGGAGAAGGGGUGAUGAUGAUGAGAAGUCUGCACAGGUGGUGGUAAAUAAAGAAACCCCAAAUCAAACCACAGACCGAAGUUACUGGGAUACACUAAGACGUAACACCAGCCAAGCACUCUUUUCAGACCUUGCAGAGCGUGCAGAAGAAAAUUUCUUUGUAGAUACUACAUUACUUGUGCAUUUUUUUGGAAGAAAAGGCAAAGCUGAGCUGAAUUUUGAUGAUUUUUAUAGGUUCAUGGAUAAUAUUCAGACUGAAAUUUUGGAAACUGAAUUCCUUUCAUACUCCAAAGGCAUGACCACAAUUAGUGAAGAGGACUUUGCUCGUAUUCUGCUACGUUAUACAAAUGUAGACAACACAAGCACUUACCUGGAGUCUGUUCGUCAAAGAAUUCCUGAAGAGAAGGGCAUCACUUUUGAUGAAUUCAGGUCCUUCUUUCAAUUCCUGAAUAACUUGGAGGACUUUGCCAUUGCAAUGCAGAUGUAUAAUUUUGCAAAUCGAUCAAUUGGGCAAGAUGAGUUCAAGCGUGCUGUAUAUGUGGCUACAGGCCUGAAGCUUUCUUCACACUUGGUAAAUACAGUCUUCAAAAUCUUUGAUGUGGACAAAGAUGAUCAACUAAGUUACAAAGAAUUCAUUGGUGUUAUGAAAGAUCGACUGCACAGAGGAUUUAGGACUACAUGUGCUCCUUUAAGGAGUCUUCAGUUUGAUUUGUUGAAAAGACACCAUCGCCUGCUUAAAUCUCUUAGAUCCCAGAUCCCCUUGUAGACAGUCACGUUACUUUAGCUAUCUACCGGCUAAAAAUCUCUCAAACCCUGCAGAAAUACAUAGGGCUACAAGUCUACACAGGGAUACCCAAGUUUCAAAGUUUGCCUGAAGAAAGAAUUUGUCACCAGAUAAAGGCGUUCGAAGGGCCUGACAGGAAAGGUUUCUACAAACAUACAUGUUAGGAAAUGAACAUUUUAUUUGAGCAAUUUUGAAGCAAGUGUAAAGCAUGCUACUUCUGAUGAUCUGGAAUCUAGCACUAAAAAACCCAAUUCAAGGUUUAGUAUUUACUGGUAAGGUAGAUUUAUGCAAAAAUGUAACCUUAUUUUAUUAAUAGGAACAUUACUGCAUUAUAGUAACUUCUGUGCACUGCUCAAAUUUGUCUAUUUUGUAUGUGAUAGAAAUGACAAGCACACGUGAUUUUUCUGUAUAUUAUGCCUUGUUCCUCAGCUGAAAAUCUUCACAGUGCAGUCUAUGGAAUGAGUAGUCAAGAAAAAUAGUGUGAUACACAAUUUCAUGUGGAUAUGAGCACCAUAUCCACUCAUCACUCAAGACUUGGAUAUUUGCAGCUAGCAUAAUGUGUUAAAAAUGUAAACAAAAUUGCUUUUGAACAUUAAUCUUAAGAUGUAUUUGGUUUGUGGUGGGAAAACUAGACCUGCAAACUAUUAGAAACAUACAACUUUUAAUUUUUUUCAAUACAAAUUAUUUUAUUAUUAUAUCUGUUGAAGUAAAUAGCAUAGAUGUAUUUAUAGAGAAGCUAGAUGAGAAUAUGGAGGGGAAGGGAGCAGAAGGACUUAUUUAAUUAACGUUUCAGGUCCGGUGACCCUUCCCCAGACCCUUCUGAGGAAGGGUCACCGGACCUGAAACGUUAACUCUGUUUUUCCCUUCACAGAUGCUACUGGACCUACUGAGCUAUUCCAGCAACUUUGUUUUUGUUCCUGAUUUACAGCAUCUGCAGUUCUUUCAGUUUUUAUUUAGAAGGAUUUAUUUGUAGGUUUAGACGAAAAGGAGUGAAAAGACGUUCAUGUGGAGAACAAAUAUUGCUAGACCAUCUGGGCUGAACAGCCUGUUUUUUGUGUGGUAGACUGUAAUUCAAUGCAAUUUAUGUAAACUCAAAUCAUGAAAGGAAUUGAAUGUUUGAAAAUAAUUUGUAAGAGAAUAUUGAUAAAUGACUGGUUCCCUUUCAAUGACAGCUGUCAAUGCAUACUAUCUCGGUUAAUUCUUAGAACAAUCGAGUUGUUAACUUCUCAAAGCAAGCUUCACUUUUAUUAACUUACUUUUGUCUGAAAUAUGCUCCAUUCCAUUUACUUUUCACAUUUAUUGUAUUAGGAUAGAGAUUGUUUUGCAAUUCAUUUGUUGAUGUGUACUUCCUAUGAAUAUACUUUUCAUAUAAUAAGCGUUUAAAUAUAUUGUCCUAAUUCAGAAUGGGCUACUACAGCUAUCACAGUUACACUUAGUGCAGUUGUUAAAUCAAUGAUUCAAAGUUCAGUGUGAAAAACAGUCUGCAAAAUAGACUUUUAUAGUUUCAAUUACAUAUUAGAAGCAAGCAAUACAUUCUUAUUUUCAAAAAGACAUAACUCUUGUUUAAAAUUAUUUGCAGAAUGUAUCAUGUAUUUUAAAGACAAUAAUAAAACUGUAGAGCAAUUAUA